UAGGGAAUAUUGCGCAAUGGGCGAAAGCCUGACGCAGCCAUGCCGCGUGGAUGAUGAAGGCCUUCGGGUCGUAAAGUCCUUUUCUGAGGGAAGAACAAGUGGGGUAGGAAAUGACCCCGCCCUGACGGUACCUCAGGAAUAAGCAACGGCAAACUCCGUGCCAGCAGCCGCGGUAAUACGGAGGUUGCAAGCGUUGUUCGGAAUAACUGGGCGUAAAGGGAGCGCAGGCGGUUUGAUCAGUCUGAAGUGGAAGCCCGGGGCUCAACCCUGGAAGGCCUUUGGAUACUGUCAAACUUGAGUUCGUGAGAGGAGAGUGGAAUUCCAGGUGUAGCGGUGAAAUGCGUAGAUAUCGGAAGGAACACCAGUGGCGAAGGCGACUUCCUGGGCCAAUACUGACGCUGAGGUGCGAAAGCGUGGGUAGCAAACAGGAUUAGAUACCCUGGUAGUCCACGCGGUAAACGAUGAGAACUAGAUGUUGGGGGGGUUGCCCCUCGGUGUCGAAGCUAACGCGUUAAGUUCUCCGCCUGGGGAAGUACGCCGGCAACGGUAA
rnacentral:rRNA from 1 species